UACGUAGGGGGCAAGCGUUGUCCGGAAUCAUUGGGCGUAAAGCGCGUGUAGGCGGCCUUGUAAGUCCGUUCUGAAAGUCCGGGGCUCAACCCCGGGAGGCGGAUGGAUACUGCAAGGCUCGAGUCCGGAAGAGGCAAGUGGAAUUCCCGGUGUAGCGGUGAAAUGCGCAGAUAUCGGGAGGAACACCAAUGGCGAAGGCAGCUCGCUGGGACGUUACUGACGCUGAGACGCGAAAGCGUGGGGAGCAACAGG
rnacentral:rRNA from 1 species